ACUGUUUCUGCAGACCUGCAGCAGCUAAGAGACAAAGCCAACCUUCUGAUACAUACUUUCUGCAUCUCUACCAAACACUGUGAAUGAUGAGGUUCACCUUUGUCAUCUUUCUCCUGUGUGUGUGGAGUUUGACCAACAGCCAACCUCUACAGCGGUCCAACAGUGACCCUGGUCCAAGAAGACCACAUGGCACAGCACCUCCAUAUCCUGACCCUCCUGUAGCACCUCCAAAUUCCCCACAAUUGUCCCAUCAAUCUUCUGACAGUGGAUUUGAAAGCAGCCACUAAAGCUCACAUUUUGUUAAAUACAUAGUCUUCUUCCUUUCCAAAAGAAAGUGUACUGUAUGCCUCCUUAUUUCUCCAGUCCUGUGCAAUAAAUCUAUCGUAUUUUCUGAAUAUCUAACCUAUGUUCUGAAUGCUCAGGAAACCUAUCUUCAAUAAAGAUUUGCUUUCAGCAUGA